CUGAAGAGGGUGAUCAUUGUUCGAGUGAGACGAGACCCGUGUUGUACAGAGUCAGCAUCCCAGUCCUGGACACGGCUUGAUAAGUUUUCACUGGAGGGAAUUGACCUUACAGAAGAUGGACUUAACUCUGGCCUCUUCAGAAUGGACAAGUGAACCUGGAGAAAGACAGUCAAAUCUGUGCAGAUAUUAAAGUCCACGUGAACGUGCUCCAUCCCUGAGCCAAAGAUCGGACAAGUAGGCAGCACUUCUUGAGGAGAGAGGUGAUGAGGACGUGGGCACAAGCAUUGGACGCCAUGUCGAGGUGACUUUGGAUACCUGCCUAGAAGCGCGGGCACAGCUGCGGCUGCAUCAUACAUCUUGCCCCCCACCCCGUUCCCGGGCUCCGUGAUCACGGCAGGGUGGUUCCUUGAUGACCUGUCCGUCUCCUUUGUGACAUUGCAACCCACCAAAGACCGGAGCGUAUUACCUUGGCUUUGUUCUUUUCCAUCCUUCUCUUUGAAUGGACUGAUAGUGGACCCAGUUAUUUUAGCAGAUGUUUUACAAGUAGGGCUCUCAGU